rnacentral:rRNA from 1 species
UACAGAGGGGGCAAGCGUUGUUCGGAAUUACUGGGCGUAAAGGGCCAGUAGGCGGCCAACUAAGUCGGAUGUGAAAUCCCCAGGCUUAACCUGGGAACUGCAUCCGAUACUGGAUGGCUUGAAUUCGGGAGAGGGAUGCAGAAUUCCAGGUGUAGCGGUGAAAUGCGUAGAUAUCUGGAGGAACACCGGUGGCGAAGGCGGCAUCCUGGACCAAUAUUGACGCUGAGGAGCGAAAGCUAGGGGAGCAAACGGG